GAGCGAAAGCGAGAAAGCGUUGCCGCAGGCAACGACCCGAAGGGCGAAGCGCGCAGCGCUGAGUAAUCUCUCCCCCACCACCA
rnacentral:sRNA from 1 species